rnacentral:rRNA from 1 species
UACGUAGGGUGCGAGCGUUGUCCGGAAUUAUUGGGCGUAAAGAGCUCGUAGGCGGCCUGUCGCGUCGGAUGUGAAAGCCCGGGGCUUAACCCCGGGUCUGCAUUCGAUACGGGCAGGCUAGAGUGUGGUAGGGGAGAUCGGAAUUCCUGGUGUAGCGGUGAAAUGCGCAGAUAUCAGGAGGAACACCGGUGGCGAAGGCGGAUCUCUGGGCCAUUACUGACGCUGAGGAGCGAGAGCGUGGGGAGCGAACAGG